CUCCACUUCGCUCGCUACUGCGCAGACUCUGGUCCCGAGUUCUCUACUGCGCAGACUCCGGUCCCAAAUCAGCACAAUAUGGCCGCGCCCUGUUGGGACAAUGGUGGCUUCACAUUUCUUCAGUGGAAGAGAUUGAAGGCAAGGCGAAGCGCGUCUCAAACAAGCCUAGUAACCAACUGCAGAACCAUUACGUCACAACAGUCUGAGGCCACAGCGCCAGAUCAGUCUGACGUCGGAAGUGGGCGGAGUAACAGUCUCAUGUCGGAAGUAGGCGGAGUUUACGACAGAAACAAUAAUGGCGGAUAAGAACACGGUGAAAAGAUGUUUUUAUUUAAACAGGCAUAUUACGAUUCAGAGACGCUCAGCUUUACUUGGAAAAAGUUGUUGCAACAAAUUUCACUGCCCAGUGUUUUUAAAAGGACCAGAUGGCACAGGUUGAAUGCACACCUUCCAAUUCACUUCAGAAAGGCAGAUGUCCAUAGAGUAAAUUGACAAGCAGAAUCAUACCAAUUUCCAAUGGAAGCUGAUUGAAAAAGGGAAAGU